rnacentral:rRNA from 1 species
UACGGGGGGGGCAAGCGUUGUUCGGAAUUACUGGGCGUAAAGGGCUCGUAGGCGGCCAACUAAGUCAGACGUGAAAUCCCUCGGCUUAACCGGGGAACUGCGUCUGAUACUGGAUGGCUUGAGGUUGGGAGAGGGAUGCGGAAUUCCAGGUGUAGCGGUGAAAUGCGUAGAUAUCUGGAGGAACACCGGUGGCGAAGGCGGGUCUCUGGGCCGAUACUGACGCUGAGGAGCGAAAGCGUGGGGAGCAAACAGG